UACGUAGGGUGCAAGCGUUGUCCGGAAUUAUUGGGCGUAAAGAGCUCGUAGGCGGUCUGUCGCGUCUGCUGUGAAAACUCGGGGCUUAACCCCGGGCCUGCAGUGGGUACGGGCAGACUAGAGUGCGGUAGGGGAGACUGGAAUUCCUGGUGUAGCGGUGAAAUGCGCAGAUAUCUGGAGGAACACCGGUGGCGAAGGCGGCAUCCUGGACCGACACUGACGCUGAGGAGCGAAAGCCAGGGGAGCAAACGGG
rnacentral:rRNA from 1 species